rnacentral:rRNA from 1 species
UGAGACCCCAGGUCAGGCGG